rnacentral:rRNA from 1 species
GUGCCAGCCGCCGCGGUAAAACGUAGGAGGCGAGCGUUAUCCGGAUUUACUGGGUGUAAAGCGCGUGCAGGCGGUUGGUUAAGUUGGAUGUGAAAGCUCCUGGCUCAACUGGGAGAGGUCGUUCAAAACUGGCUAACUAGAGGAUGGUAGGGGAAGGUGGAAUUCCGGGUGUAGUGGUGAAAUGCGUAGAUAUCCGGAGGAACACCAGUGGCGAAGGCGGCCUUCUAGACCAUCCCUGACGCUCAGACGCGAAAGCUAGGGUAGCAAACGGGAUUAGAAACCCGUGUAGUCC